UGGGGAAUAUUGGACAAUGGGGGCAACCCUGAUCCAGCAAUGCCGCGUGUGUGAAGAAGGUCUUCGGAUUGUAAAGCACUUUCGACGGGGACGAUGAUGACGGUACCCGUAGAAGAAGCCCCGGCUAACUUCGUGCCAGCAGCCGCGGUAAUACGAAGGGGGCUAGCGUUGCUCGGAAUGACUGGGCGUAAAGGGCGUGUAGGCGGUUUACACAGUCAGAUGUGAAAUCCCCGGGCUUAACCUGGGAGCUGCAUUUGAUACGUGUAGACUAGAGUGUGAGAGAGGGUUGUGGAAUUCCCAGUGUAGAGGUGAAAUUCGUAGAUAUUGGGAAGAACACCGGUGGCGAAGGCGGCAACCUGGCUCAUGACUGACGCUGAGGCGCGAAAGCGUGGGGAGCAAACAGGAUUAGAUACCCUGGUAGUCCACGCUGUAAACGAUGUGUGCUAGAUGUUGGGUACUUU
rnacentral:rRNA from 1 species